GAAAUGCGAUAAGUAAUGUGAAUUGCAGAAUUCAGUGAAUCAUCGAAUCUUUGAACGCACCUUGCGCUCCUUGGUAUUCCUUGGAGCAUGCCUGUUUGAGUAUCAUGAAAUCUUCAAAGUAAAUCUUUUGUUAACUCAAUUGGUUUCUACUUUGGUAUUGGAGGUCUUUGCAGCUUCACACCUGCUCCUCUUUGUUCAUUAGCUGGAUCUCAGUGUUAUGCUUGGUUCCACUCGGCGUGAUAAGUUAUCUAUCGCUGAGGACACUGUAAAAGGUUGCCAAGGUAAAUGCAGAUGAACCGCUUCUAAUAGUCCAUUGACUUGGACAAUACUUUUAUGAUCUGAUCUCAAAUCAGGUAGGACUACCCGCUGAACUUAAGC
rnacentral:misc_RNA from 1 species